UGGGGAAUAUUGCACAAUGGGCGAAAGCCUGAUGCAGCAACGCCGCGUGAGUGAUGAAGGUCUUCGGAUUGUAAAGCUCUGUCUUUUGGGACGAUAAUGACGGUACCAAAGGAGGAAGCCACGGCUAACUACGUGCCAGCAGCCGCGGUAAUACGUAGGUGGCGAGCGUUGUCCGGAUUUACUGGGCGUAAAGGGUGCGUAGGCGGAUGUUUAAGUGAGAUGUGAAAUACCCGGGCUUAACUUGGGUGCUGCAUUUCAAACUGGAUAUCUAGAGUGCAGGAGAGGAGAAUGGAAUUCCUAGUGUAGCGGUGAAAUGCGUAGAGAUUAGGAAGAACACCAGUGGCGAAGGCGAUUCUCUGGACUGUAACUGACGCUGAGGCACGAAAGCGUGGGUAGCAAACAGGAUUAGAUACCCUGGUAGUCCACGCCGUAAACGAUGAGUACUAGGUGUAGGAGGUAUCGACCCCUUCUGUGCCGCAGUAAACACAUUAAGUACUCCGCCUGGGAAGUACGAUCGCAAGAUUAAAACUCUAAAGUGAAUUGC
rnacentral:rRNA from 1 species